CAACAGGGAUUGCCUUAGUAACUGCGAGUGAAGCGGCAUCAGCUCAAAUUUGAAAUCUGGCGCUUCCGGCGUCCGAAUUGUAAUUUGGAGAGGCAUCUUUGGAUCGGGCGCCGGCCCAAGUUCCUUGGAACAGGACGUCGCAGAGGGUGAGAAUCCCGUGUGCGGCCGGCAGCCUCGGUUCGCCGAAGAGCCUUCGACGAGUCGAGUUGUUUGGGAAUGCAGCUCAAAAUGGGUGGUAAAUUUCAUCUAAAGCUAAAUAUCGGCGGGAGACCGAUAGCGCACAAGUAGAGUGAUCGAAAGAUGAAAAGCACUUUGAAAAGAGAGUUAAAAAGCACGUGAAAUUGUUGAAAGGGAAGCGCUUGAGACCAGACGUGGGUCACGGCAAUCAUCAGGGCGUCAGCGCUGUGCAAUUGCUCGGGCCCAGGCCAGCAUCGGUUCUCGCGGCAGGACAAAGGCCAGGGGAAUGUGGCUCCCUUCGGGGAGUGUUAUAGCCUCGGGCGCAACGCUGCCAGCGGGGACCGAGGACCGCGCUUCGGCUAGGAUGCUGGCGCAAUGGUCUUCAGCGACCCGUCUUGAAACACGGACCAAGGAGUCUAACAUCCAUGCGAGUGUUCGGGUGCCAAACCCUUGCGCGCAAUGAAAGUGAACGGAGGUGAGAACGCCGUCAAAGGCGUGCAUCAUCGACCGAUCCUGAAGUUUACGGAUGGAUUUGAGUAGGAGCAUGGCUGUUGGGACCCGAAAGAUGGUGAACUAUGCCUGAAUAGGGUGAAGCCAGAGGAAACUCUGGUGGAGGCUCGCAGCGGUUCUGACGUGCAAAUCGAUCGUCAAAUUUGGGUAUAGGGGCGAAAGACUAAUCGAACCAUCUAGUAGCUGGUUCCUGCCGAAGU
rnacentral:rRNA from 1 species